GAAAAAGAGGAGUGGCGAACGGGUGGGUAACACGUGGGUAACCUGCCCAUCAGAAGGGGAUAACACUUGGAAACAGGUGCUAAUACCGUAUAACAAUCAAAACCGCAUGGUUUUGAUUUGAAAGGCGCUUUCGGGUGUCGCUGAUGGAUGGACCCGCGGUGCAUUAGCUAGUUGGUGAGGUAACGGCUCACCAAGGCCACGAUGCAUAGCCGACCUGAGAGGGUGAUCGGCCACAUUGGGACUGAGACACGGCCCAAACUCCUACGGGAGGCAGCAGUAGGGAAUCUUCGGCAAUGGACGAAAGUCUGACCGAGCAACGCCGCGUGAGUGAAGAAGGUUUUCGGAUCGUAAAACUCUGUUGUUAGAGAAGAACAAGGAUGAGAGUAACUGUUCAUCCCUUGACGGUGUCUAACCAGAAAGCCACGGCUAACUACGUGCCAGCAGCCGCGGUAAUACGUAGGUGGCAAGCGUUGUCCGGAUUUAUUGGGCGUAAAGCGAGCGCAGGCGGUUUCUUAAGUCUGAUGUGAAAGCCCCCGGCUCAACCGGGGAGGGUCAUUGGAAACUGGGAGACUUGAGUGCAGAAGAGGAGAGUGGAAUUCCAUGUGUAGCGGUGAAAUGCGUAGAUAUAUGGAGGAACACCAGUGGCGAAGGCGGCUCUCUGGUCUGUAACUGACGCUGAGGC
rnacentral:rRNA from 1 species